rnacentral:lncRNA from 10 species
GAAAUUUGGGUGCAGACAGGCACACAGGGAGAACACCAUGUCAACACGAAGGCAGAAGUUGGAGUGAUGAGUCUACAAGCCAAGGAUUGCCAGCAAUUCAUCAGAGGCCAGGACAGCAGCCUGGGGCAGCCCCCUACAUGGUACCAACUCCAUCAACACCUUGAUCUCAGACUUCCAACCUCCAGAACUGUCCAGCCCUCCAUGAAUGAGGAACUUCCUGGGGCCACUAGUGCAUGCUGCAGCUCACACAGUCAACUCCAUCCACACCUCCACAAACAGCUGCCCUUUGGCCACUACUCAGGCGUAAGGACACACCCAGCAGGGUAUGCCCUCUGGAGGUCAGACCAGGGAAGAAGCCCUUGCACAGUCAGGAGCCAGCUCAGCACCUGUGAUGCUGAAUUCUAUGUGGCAACUUGACUGGACGCAGGUGCUCGGAUUAAACCUGAUUUCUGGGUAUGUCUGUGAGGGUAUUUCCAGAGGAGAUUAGAAUUUGAAUCCGUGGAUUGGCAAAGUUGGUGUCUGCCCCAGUGUGGGUGGUCACCAUCUACUCUCCUGAGGGCCUGAAGAGAACAAAAGGCAAAGGAAGGAGGAAUUCGCCCUUAACUUGCUUGCCGCCUGCCUGCUUGAGCAGAGACAUUUCAUCACAUCUUCUCUGGCCCUCGACUGAGAUUCACACCAUUGGCUUCCCUGGUUCUCAGGCAUUUUGACUUGGACUGAACUACACCAUUGGCUUUCCUGGGCUCCAGCUUGCACAUAGCAGAUUGUGGGAUUUCUCAGCCUCUAUUAUUACAGGCGCCAGUUCUUCAAAAUCAACCUCUCUCUCUCUGUCUCUCUCUCUCUCCCUAGAUCACAGUCUGGAAGUCUGCUCACAGUCUCAAGGUUGGCAUAUCCCCUAGAGCCCCCAGACUCCUCAUCCCAUGGAGACCAACAUGGCCAGGGGAGGGCCAGAGCAGGGCCUUCUAAAUCACAGACCCCAGGGCAGGAGCCCCUCCGGUCUGGAUCUAAGGAUGGUAUUUUCAACAAUUCCUAAAUUUUUAUCCUAGGCUCUCCAAAUGGGAGUCUAAAGGUCUCAAAACAUGGUCCAGAAGAAGUAUGCAAAAAUGUAAAUUCCUAGGCCCCAACCCAGACCUAUGAAUCAGAUGAUCUGUAUGGGGGUUCAAGGAAUCUAUAUUAUUAAACAAUCUUCCUAAAUGACUUGUAUUCAUACUAAAGCUUGAGAAUUGCUAUCAAACAGCUAGAAGUUGGAGUGAAGGGUCCUGCCUUUCCCAUGAAAUUCAUCAACUCUAUGCCCUCAAAAGCUGGGCUCUUGGAUGAGCUGCUCUCCAUUCUAGAGACAUUACCAGCUAGGUAGCCUGCUGGUCCUCAGGAAGUUAAGCCCAGACUCUUCAGCACAGAAUCAGAUAAACACUGAUUACAUUGUACUCUACAGUUCUGAGAACACCAUUACUUAAUUCCCGGCAAGUUGCAAUGUAAUUGAGUAGGUUGUAGUUUUUUGGGUUUGGGGUUUUUUUGUUUUUUAAAUAUAUCAGGCGUAGUUAGCCAGCUUCCUAGAAACACCAUGAUCUCUUGGUGAAAAUUCCAGAAAUAUGCAUCACUUCCUAAUUAAAGUAGGGAAUUUUUAAAAAUUAUUAAACCACAUGCUUUCUAAUUCCUAUUGCCCUUUCUUUUCACCCACCAUUCAGCAGUCAGCAGACACUUUCUGGGUACAACAGGGUAGGACCAUCCAGGCAGAACAAAAGCCAUUGAUCAUGAACUACAGAGGAGAGUUUGGUAAAUGGACACCAGAAACCAUGGCCUACAGGGGCCUGGUUUUCUCCCAUCUAAAUACUAACUAGGCCCAACGCUAGUUGGGCUUAGCUUCCUAGAUCAGAUGAAAUUGGGCACAUUUAGGGUUGGGGGUAUGGCUCUCUAUUGUAAGUAGCAAGAGUUUGAGAGAAGAAAAAAGGGAUUUUCUUUUUUUUUUCUUUUAAAUUUUAGAGCAUUAACUUUAAACAUCAAGAUCCAAACCCCAAGGAUUCAGAGAAUCUUGUACUAUAAACCAUUUGUAUUAGUCAGGGUUCUCCAGAGAAACAGAACCCAUAGGAGGUAUAGAGAUAGAGAAAUAUGGAAUUGGCUCCCAUGAUUAUGGAGGCUGAGAAGUCCCUCAAUCUGCUGUCUGUGAGCUGGAGACCUAGGAAAGCUUAGCUGGUGGUACAAACCAGCCCAAGUGCAAAGGCCCAAGAACUAAGAGCACCAUUGUCAGAGAGCAGGAAAAGACAGAUGUCCCAGCUCAAAAAGAGAGAGCAAAUUCACCUUCCUUCCACCAUUUUAUUCCGUCCUGUUCCAUUCCUCAACAGGUUGGAUGAUGAGGGAGAUCUUUAUCCAUCUCAAGUUUUUUGUGCAAAUAUGGAAUACAAAUGAAAAAUACUUAAAGCACAUCAUCAUUGAUUUCCAACUUAGACUAGUUUAACUUCCCUUUUUCUUCUAUCCUGUCAGUUCCUUGAGGGAUCCUCUCUCCUUGUUCAUCUCUGCAUCUCUAGUAAUUAGCACAGUGCCAGGCACAUGGUAAUAUGGCUAAAACAGUGGAUUAUUGGUCUCCAACAUAAUUAAGCCCAUCCAAAAGAAAAACCAACCUCAUAAAUCUGCUUUGCAAAGUUCAUAAACAAUGGAUAUGCUAUGUCUCAAAGGUGCUGGCCAAAAAAAUUUAAGAACUUGGGAAUUAUGUGUUAUUUUGUUUGUUUUUUUCACCAAGCCUACUUUUCUGUCACAAGAGCCCAUAUCAACAACACACCCAUGUAUGUCCUUCUUUUUAUCUACUUUUCUCCAUGAAGUUUGUCACCAUCAACUGUUAAAACUGUAAAGAUUUGAUCAGCUAAAUAAGUGGUCUUUGAACUAAUUCCUCUCGUACUUCCUAAAGGAACUUUGAAAAACUAUGUAUCCCCUUGCACAUUUUCAAGCAGACACCUAAGAUUUUUCAUCAUAAAUUUGAAUAACUUCAAAAUAUGUACUUAUUAGCAUAUUGUAAAUAUUGAUUUUUAAAUAAAAUAUAUCACACUUUGUAUCCAAUGAA